GCUUGUUUCACGUCUUUUUCGAUUACGGACUGUCUUGUUAUGCAAGAAUUAGGCAUCGUCAAAAAGCCUAUUAAACGUAGAUUCUAAAAAUACAAUUUUCAGAUGGGCGCAAAUUCAGAUUUUUGCUACAAGGGGCCUUGAAAUUCAAUAGAACAUCAGAUUCGAAAGAGCAUAAUAUUAACUUUUAGCGUGCUUAUGAAAAUACCGUAUUUUGGUGUCUCAUGAGCGCGCUCAUAUACACUUCUUUCAUGUCUUUUUCGAUGCAGACGGACUCCCUUGUUAUGCAAGAAUGACUGAGGCAUCGACAGAAAGCCUAUUCACCGUAGAUUCCAACAAUACAAUUUACAGACCGUGGUAAAUUCAAG